rnacentral:rRNA from 1 species
CCUACGGGAGGCAGCAGUGAGGAAUAUUGGUCAAUGGACGAGAGUCUGAACCAGCCAAGUAGCGUGAAGGAUGACUGCCCUAUGGGUUGUAAACUUCUUUUAUAUGGGAAUAAAAUGUUCCACGUUUGGGAUUUUGUAUGUACCAUAUGAAUAAGGAUCGGCUAACUCCGUGCCAGCAGCCGCGGUAAUACGGAGGAUCCGAGCGUUAUCCGGAUUUAUUGGGUUUAAAGGGAGCGUAGGUGGAUUGUUAAGUCAGUUGUGAAAGUUUGCGGCUCAACCGUAAAAUUGCAGUUGAAACUGGCAGUCUUGAGUACAGUAGAGGUGGGCGGAAUUCGUGGUGUAGCGGUGAAAUGCUUAGAUAUCACGAAGAACUCCGAUUGCGAAGGCAGUUCACUGGACUGCAACUGACACUGAGGCUCGAAAGUGUGGGUAUCAAACAGGAUUAGAUACCCCAGUAGUC